rnacentral:lncRNA from 1 species
UAAGCAAAAUCUCUUAAAAUUCUGCUAUAGAAUUUCAACAAAAAAAUCUGCAUAAAUCUGUUAAUAGAUANNNNNNNNNNNNNNNNNNNNNNNNACUCACACCUAAAAAGGUGGUUGCUCCAAAAUUUAUGUGUUCCUUUUGCUUAGCAAUUGGUGAGGGAAAUCCCAGCCAGGAUAGUAAUUUAUCAGCCAAGGUUGCAUCUGGCUUCUCAGCUGUGCAGUCUCCCUGAAAACUUCAAGAGUCAUGUCCGUGCAAAGUGGAAAUACAACAUCCAGCGGGAAAACAAAAAACAAAAAACAAAAAACAAAAAACAAAAACAAGAAAAAAAAACCCGCAAAAGACAAAAAACCGAAAAACUAAGAGCAAGAGCUUUGGAGUCUGUCAGAAUGGGGUUCAAAUUCUGGUUGUACCAUGAAUUAACUGGUACUUUACCCUUCUGAGGCUAAGGUUUCCUUAUCUAUAAGAUAUAUAGAUAAAGAUACAUAUAUUAUAUAUAAUAUAUCUAGAUAUAUAGAUAAGAUAUAUAUUAUUAUGUAUAUUUAAUACUGCCUCAUGCUAUUGAUUGAGUUAAAUAAGAUAAUAUGCUUAGUCAGGUAGUAGGUACUUAGCAGAUGCUAAAAGAGGUGUUAAGUGUUAAGCCGGAAUUUGCAAUGGAGACUGCCUGACUCUAAAUCUCAUACCCUUUACACUUAACACUUUCAUGUCCAUAUGGUUGCUACUUCCUCCCUGUAAAAUUUUAGGCACGUAACUUCCCCUUCUGGGUUUCUAUUUGUUCAGCUGCACAAGGAGCCAGAACAUUUUAAGCCUAGCCCUGCAAUUCUCUGAGCAACAGUUACCCAGAAAAAGAGCUAGAUAUU